GGCUAACUCUUUUAUUAGAACAAAAAACCUUUUUUAUUAAAUCAGUUUGGGUUCUUAGCAGAGGUUACUGCCGUCUUAGAGAGCUCACUGCGUCGUCUCUUCGAUUUGGCUUAGCAGGCGUCGUCUUCAAUUUCAUUUGAGAGGGUACUGCCAUCGUCUUAGAGAGAUGAGACCUCCAGGAGUUUUCUGGGUAUUUCUGUCACCCUUUCCUAGACAUGAACACAUACCAGGGGCCUCUUUCAACGUAGGAACAUUAUAUUGUUAACUUCAGAUGGCUCUUGGACAAAUGUGGCAGGAGGUGUGAAGAAAGGCAAAGUUUACGGGCUUGGAGCACAACCUUCCUCAUGUCAUCCAUCACCGUUGUUGUCUGGUGCUUCUACUUCUCAAACUUCAGAAGAAAUGGAAGUAAUGUGAAGAGAGAUUUCAAAGCUUACAGAACGACUUCAAACAUCUGAAGCUAACUAUGCUAAAGUGCAGAAGUUCAUGGAGAAACAUAUGGUUGAAUCUGAUGAUGGCGAAGAAGAGAUGGACUCUGAUGAAGAGAAGAUUAUGUUAUGGUUGUUUAGACAUUUUCUACGACAUUUAGACUUGUUUUAAACUAUUUACUUCCGUUUUGAAUAACAAUUGAAUACUUAUUAGACUUGAUUUUGAUGAUGCUUGAACUUUUAGACUCUAUUGUGAAUCUGUGAAUCAAGUGGAAUUUGAAUGUUUAGGAAUGUAUUCGAUGUUUGGUUUUA